CUACAGUUUAAACCUCCAGAAUGCCGCAGCUAGCAAACUGAGUGUUCCAGAGGACUGGUCGAUGGGUGCAGACAGCUGGGCAUUCAUUCCUUGGGCGAGGGGUACCACUUAUGAGAGGUGUCAAAUCAGAGCAAGAGAUGCCACUAUCCCUACCUACUCCUACAUGGAGCCUCUAUGACCCCGUUUGGAGUCACCACCCAAGAGCUCUGGCGGGAGGAGUACCGCGAUGAGCGUCAGGCUCAGCUCUCCGCAGGGCCUGCCAGGGCUCCAGACACGCCAGCGUCGAGGAGGGGCGGAGAAGGGAGAGGGCGUUUUCUACCCAGAUUCCAGUAGGAAAGCCAGGAAAAGAGAAAGCAGUUGCGUACUUGAACCUGGGGUGGGGCUGGGAGAACAAAGAGGUCGUGAUAGCCCCAGCCUCACUCCGAUCCUCUAUAGACACUUCGUGGCACUGCGAACCCACACAAGUCACGCCGCCCCGGCGGAGCGUCAGAAUCUAAGAGCAUGCAGAUUUCUCGAGUCCAGUCCGGCCCUAAGGCUCACAAAUUCUGUGUGGUUGCAUCCAGGCAUCUGCGUUCUAAACAAGGGUCCGGGCUGACUUGGGCCCAGGGAAGUUUGAAAACAAUCGCUUCACGUCUGACAGCACCUUGGUUCGCAGCUCAAACGAACUCAGCGCCGCGGCUGAGGCUAGGCCACGCCUCAACCGUGCUUGGUCCUUUCCUUUGGUCCCGCCCCACUGCUUAGCGUGGAUUGGUGAUGGAGAGCAACUCUGGCGCUGAUUGGGCAUCGGAGGAGUCGCUCGCGGAGACUGUAAUUUCGGGUGCUCCAGGGUGCUAAAUUUAUCUUCAGAAGAGCGACCGUGCCAGCCGCGAAUCGGAUCUCUGUGGAGGUGGCAUAGGCGAUAUCCCUGAACCGAGAGCAUCACCCUGUCCCCGAAUCCUUCUUUCCUGUUUUAUUUUUCAUUCCCCCCUCCUCCCGCCUCACCCCAGUCCGCGACGACUGGCUCUUGACCCUGUUCAGGCCUCGGUGAAGGCUAUUGGUUACUUUCCUUCCACCCCAUCCCUUAAUUUUAUUCUUUUGAAGAGUCUGCAUUUCAAGAUGCCAAGGUGGAGAGUGUGAUUCCAGAAGGGAGUACUCCUCAUUUCAGAUGAUUUCAAGACUUUGUAUAAGAAGUAGCUGUAGCUCCCUGCCCAAAAUAUGUAAGGGAAGUUGAGGUCUGAAUGCUACAACACUGGGUUGGCUCAGAAUGGCAGAAUAAGAUUUUAUUACAAGGGUUUUCACCAUGCUAAUAAAACAGUAUCUUAAAAACUGUGGAUGUUCAUUUCCAGAGCACUUCAUAGGUGUUAGGCAAUUCAGCAGUAGGUCAUAUAACCAUGUUACAGCUAUGGAAAAAUUAAUUGCCUGACACUUAUGAGGUACUUGUGGUUUAGAAAAGGACCUUUAAAAUGCAAAAUGCUAGUUUGCUAUCCUACAUGUAUAAAUGAAAAGGUUAGACAUCAUCUCUCAUAAGAAGUAUAAUAUCCUGGUGUAUUGUCAAAGCCUCAAAUGCUUUUAGGGUUCUUAAAAGGCUCCCAGGUUCACUCAGUAACAUUCAUUCAUCAUUUUUUCCACCAAGCACCUAUUUCAAGAAACUAUAGAAUACACCUACAUUAACAACAAUUCACUUUUCAACUACCUGUCACAGCCUUUAUUAAAUACACAUACAUUAUUCCCCCCCUUUACCAAGGUGAAUAUGUUUUAAGUCCUCCAGUGGAUGCCUGAAACUGCUAAUAGCACUGAAUUCUAUAUACACUGUUUUCCUAUACAUACAUAUCUAUGGUAAAGUUUAAUUUAUAAGUUUGGCAUACUAAGAGGUUAAGUAUAGUAAAGUAGGACAAUUAUAACAAUAUAUUGUAGAAAAUGUUAUGUGAAUGUGCUCACUCAAAAUAUUGUACUGUAGUCACCCCUGUGAUGAUGUGCAAUGAUAUAAUGCUUAUGUUAUGAGAUGAAGUAAGGUGAAUGACACAGGCAUUGUGACAUAGAAUUAGGCUAUUAUUGACCUUCUGAUGAUACAUAAGAAGGAGGAUCAUCUUCUUCAGUUGAUCCUGCAUCAUGGAGCCAUGGUAAUGUUGAUGGUUGAUGUCAAGAGCAAACAGUGUUGAUGGUUGGGGAAAUUUAAUGUUUUUGGACCACAGUUAACUAUAGGUAACUGAAACUAAAGAAAGUAAAACCUCAGAUAAGAGGGAACUACUCUAUAAUACAUCAAAUCACCAUAAAUCUACCACACAGCUCUCACCAGGAACUAAGCCAGCAUACCUUUUCAAGAAAAAAAUUGGAAACAAAUUUUUCUGGCAGUCAAAAUGUGUGUUUGUUCUAGAAAACAAGCUAUCCUCAAGGCUUCAGUGUUCAGUCAGAUAUAAUACAGAGAUCUAGGCUGUCGUGGGCUGAAGUUCUAAAUCUUAACUAAUUUCACAAUAUAUUGACUAUCAAUUAGGUUCUCACAGUGUUCCUGCAAGCAUCAAAGAAGUCCAGCACUCCUUAAAUUGUGCAACAGCAACAAACUGUACAUAGUCUGUUUUUGCUUAAUUUUGUACUCAACAUAAAAUGUAGACUUUCAUUAACUAAACUUUAUGCCAAAACAUGAAAUGAAUAGAACUCGUGAAACAAAGGCCAAAAGUCAAGACACAAACCCUGUUAUGAAGAUAAUGAAGAAUUGUUUGGAGUAUGUAUAGAGCAUUUAUCUAGUAUUUAGCCAGUCAAAUACUGAAACACAUAACCAUGCCUCUGCCUUGUAUUAUAUCAUUAUUAGAAGAAAUUUAAUGGCAAAGCAAAUGUUGCAUUUACAAGUCAUAAAAUAUUAAAAACACAUUAAUCCAGAAUAAACAUAGGAAAGAUACAGUUAAAUGUUUAAAUUCUUACAUCCAAUUUUAUAGUAAAAGAGGGAAAAUAAGCUCCAUGAAAGCAGAGACCUUGACUUAUCCACCUUUGUAUUUUCAGGAAUACCUAGAAUAACACCUGACACCUAAUAGUUGUUCCUUCAGUAACUGUUGAGGACUUCCAGUCAAGAUGGCAGGUAUAGGUAAACAUGGUACUGCUUUCCUGCUACAACCACAU